UGUCGAAUAAUUGACAAUUUAUUACUUUCACUAUGAAAACUUUUUGUUAAUCACGUUGGCCGUACAUUCCACAGCAGCCACAUCAAAAUCAUAUCACGUGUUUGUUUUGUUCUCAUCUUAUUGUUAAAUUUCUUGAUUUACGGCCUAUCACGGAUUUUUUACCACACAAACAUGUAUGUAACCACAUCAUCAUAGAUUAAAUCAUCUAAAAUCACAUGUUGUUACUUCAUUACGGGUAAACUAACUGUAAGGCGGCAGUGCCAAGGCAGAACAUCUUUAA